AAUUUGACCUCAAAUCAGGUAGGACUACCCGCUGAACUUAAGCAUAUCAAAGCCCGGAGGAA
rnacentral:rRNA from 1 species